rnacentral:lncRNA from 1 species
AUGCCUCUUUUAGAAUUAAAUGAAUGCUGCAAAGGUCUGGGUGUGUGUUGGUGUAUACUUGAAAUGUCUCUACAUUUUUGGAGUCACCCUCCAGCCCCCUUCUCAUGGAGGGAAUACACAAAAUGUCUUGGAAUUCCUAUCUUUAGAUUGUAUUGGGUCCCAAUCAACUCAUGUACAAAGUCGUGCUAUACGAUUGUAGAAUGAUUCCUUCUGUAAAUUUGGAAAAGCCUAUCAGUGCUUUCUUUACUCGAGAGUUGCCCCUGCUCCUAGCAUACCUCAUCUUUGGUGUACGGUUCUUGUAAGUUAGUAAAAUGAAGAGAGUAACUAACUGGCUGCUUUCAGAUGAGAUCAGGCGUGUUGAGGGUGGUAUGGCCAUAGACUCAUUGGCUGCUUUCAUAUCACAGUACCACCAGCAGUUCUGAAACACUUUGGUCUCAGGACUUCUAAAUUAUUGAAGAUCCCCAGAGAGCUUUUGUGUAUGUGGCUUGUGUCUGUCAGAAUUUGCUAUAUUAGAAAUUAACACUGAGAUAUUUAAAAAACAUGUCAUUUAAAGAUAACAGUAAUAAGCCCCGUUACAUGUUAACAUAAAUACAUUUUGAUGACAGAACUGUUUUCCAAAAACAAUCAGAAGACCAUUGUUUCACCUUUGUGCAUCUCUUUAAUAUCUGGCUUAAUAGAAGCAGUGGGAUUCUCAUACUGUCACAUUGCAAUUCUUUUCAUAUGACAUGGCAUGUGGGCACUGGAAAAUUCCAUCAUGCACUUGCGAAACCACGAAUGGAACAGACAUACAACAUUGUAGUAUUAUGAAAAUAGCUUUGACCUUGGGUUUGGGGGACCCUCAAGGGUCCUCAGACCACACUGAGAACCGUUGCACUAUACUUUAAAUGAGUGUGUUUCUGGAGCAACAGUGUUUAGUUGUAGGGUAAAUGUACUACGCCCUGAACUUCUAAGUGUUUUUGUUGGCUUGGUGGGAAAAAUCAAAAUUUCUGUUGAAAUUGCAAACUUUUAAAACAUCGUUUUCUGAGUUUUCUUCUAUUUUUAUUUGAAUAUAUUUCAGUAAUGAUAAAAGUGGUGAAUAUCUCCUUUUUUUUGAAAAGGAUAUUACAAGUCCUGACUCGUAGUUAUUGGUGUUUAUUUUGGAGUUAUUUACUAUUCUGACCACUUUAAAAUUGCAUAAUUGGUUUGGGGGGCCAUCAAUAAACUUGCUGAGGAAAAAUUCA